AAUAGACUUCUACAGCCUGUAUGGGACCAGCUGCCAUGGCUGUGAAUUCCCAAUCGAGGCUGGAGACAAGUUCCUGGAUGCCCUCGGUUACACCUGGCAUGACACCUGCUUCGUCUGCGCUGUGUGCUGCACCACUCUGGAGGGCCAGUCCUUCUUCUCCAAGAGAGACAAACCUCUUUGCAAGAAACACGCUCACACACUGAAGAUAUGAAGACUUCUCUCGUGUCCUGUCGUCGUACAUUUACUCUUAGUUUUUUGGUGUACAAAGGCCAAUAUAUAGAUGUUAACUCCACACGACAUGGACAUACAGAUAGAAGUCGAGAAAAGGGAAACGUAGCCAUGGAUGCAAAAAGUUUAUAUACAUGUUUAAGGACCCUGAUCCACUGCAGAAAUAAUAAUGUAUUUUCUUUCAUGAGAAGAGUUCUAUAUUUAAUUUGAUUUGAUUUUUGGGAUUUUGUUAAAUCAUGCAACCAGCAAAACAGGAGUUCUUCUUCUGAACGGGGCAAUUUUGAUGUACUACCAAGGCAGAAAUUUAAUAAUAUAUUUACUUUUGUGAUCUAAUUUUUUUUCUUUUUGACCAGAAUUGAAUCUUGUCCUUGGAAAAGCAUCAAACCACACAACACAUUAGAGCAGUGGUUCUCAACUCGUCCAGCCUCAGGACCCACCAGCAACACCUCCAGGAGGAAACCGACCCAAAUUUCAGAAUUGUUUAAACCAA